AGAGUUUGAUCCUGGCUCAGAAUGAACGCUGGCGGCGUGCCUAACACAUGCAAGUCGUACGAGAAAUCCCGAGCUUGCUUGGGAGAGUAAAGUGGCGCACGGGUGAGUAACGCGUGGGUAACCCACCUUCGAAUCUGGGAUAACUCCGCGAAAGCGGUGCUAAUACCGGAUAAGACCACAGCCGUUUCGGCGGCAGAGGUAAAAGCUGACCUCUCCAUGGAAGUUAGCGUUCGAAGACGGGCCCGCGUCCUAUCGGCUUGUUGGUGGGGUAAAGGCCUACCAAGGCAGCGACGGGUAGCUGGUCUGAGAGGAUGAUCAGCCACACUGGAACUGGAACACGGUCCAGACUCCUACGGGAGGCAGCAGUGAGGAAUUUUGCGCAAUGGGGGAAACCCUGACGCAGCAACGCCGCGUGGGUGAAGAAGGCUUUCGGGUCGUAAAGCCCUGUCAGGUGGGAAGAAACUCUUCAGUACUAAUAAUGCUGAAGCCUGACGGUACCACCAGAGGAAGCACCGGCCAACUCCGUGCCAGCAGCCGCGGUAAUACGGAGGGUGCAAGCGUUGUUCGGAAUUAUUGGGCGUAAAGAGCGUGUAGGCGGCUUGGUAAGUCAGAUGUGAAAGCCCUGGGCUCAACCCAGGAAGUGCAUUUGAAACU
rnacentral:rRNA from 1 species